rnacentral:rRNA from 1 species
UACAGAGGUCUCAACCGUUGUUCGGAUUCAUUGGGCGUAAAGGGUGCGUAGGCGGUCGCGCAAGUCGGAUGUGAAAUCUCAGGGCUCAACCCUGAAACUGCAUUCGAUACUGCGUGGCUAGAGUGCUGGAGAGGAGACUGGAAUUUACGGUGUAGCAGUGAAAUGCGUAGAUAUCGUAAGGAAGACCAGUGGCGAAGGCGAGUCUCUGGACAGCAGCUGACGCUGAGGCACGAAGGCCAGGGGAGCAAACGGGG